UGGUGGGUAGUUUGACUGGGGCGGUCUCCUCCUAAAGAGUAACGGAGGAGCACGAAGGUUGGCUAAUCCUGGUCGGACAUCAGGAGGUUAGUGCAAUGGCAUAAGCCAGCUUGACUGCGAGCGUGACGGCGCGAGCAGGUGCGAAAGCAGGUCAUAGUGAUCCGGUGGUUCUGAAUGGAAGGGCCAUCGCUCAACGGAUAAAAGGUACUCCGGGGAUAACAGGCUGAUACCGCCCAAGAGUUCAUAUCGACGGCGGUGUUUGGCACCUCGAUGUCGGCUCAUCACAUCCUGGGGCUGAAGUAGGUCCCAAGGGUAUGGCUGUUCGCCAUUUAAAGUGGUACGCGAGCUGGGUUUAGAACGUCGUGAGACAGUUCGGUCCCUAUCUGCCGUGGGCGCUGGAGAACUGAGGGGGGCUGCUCCUAGUACGAGAGGACCGGAGUGGACGCAUCACUGGUGUUCGGGUUGUCAUGCCAAUGGCACUGCCCGGUAGCUAAAUGCGGAAGAGAUAAGUGCUGAAAGCAUCUAAGCACGAAACUUGCCCCGAGAUGAGUUCUCCCUGAGACUUAGAGUCUCCUGAAGGAACGUUGAAGACGACGACGUUGAUAGGCCGGGUGUGUAAGCGCAGCGAUGCGUUGAGCUAACCGG
rnacentral:rRNA from 1 species